UACGAAGGGGGCUAGCGUUGCUCGGAAUCACUGGGCGUAAAGCGCACGUAGGCGGCUUUCUAAGUCAGGGGUGAAAUCCUGGAGCUCAACUCCAGAACUGCCUUUGAUACUGGAGAGCUAGAGUCCGGAAGAGGUGAGUGGAAUUCCUGGUGUAGCGGUGAAAUGCGCAGAUAUCAGGAGGAACACCAAUGGCGAAGGCAGCUCGCUGGGACGGUACUGACACUGAGACGCGAAAGCGUGGGGAGCAAACAGG
rnacentral:rRNA from 1 species